rnacentral:rRNA from 1 species
CUUAGUGGCGGACGGGUGAGUAACACGUGAGCAACCUGCCUUUCAGAGGGGGGAUAACGUUUGGAAACGAACGCUAAUACCGCAUAAAAUAUCGGAGUCGCAUGGCACUGAUAUCAAAGGAGUAAUCCGCUGAAAGAUGGGCUCGCGUCCGAUUAGGCAGUUGGCGGGGUAACGGCCCACCAAACCGACAAUCGGUAGCCGGACUGAGAGGUUGAACGGCCACCAUUGGGACUGAGACACGGCCCAGACUCCUACGGGAGGCAGCAG